rnacentral:rRNA from 1 species
CCUACGGGUUGCAGCAGUGGGGAAUAUUGGACAAUGGGGGGAACCCUGAUCCAGCCAUGCCGCGUGUGUGAAGAAGGCCUUAUGGUUGUAAAGCACUUUAAGCGAGGAGGAGGCUACUUUAGUUGAUACCUAGAGAUAGUGGACGUUACUCGCAGAAUAAGCACCGGCUAACUCUGUGCCAGCAGCCGCGGUAAUACAGAGGGUGCGAGCGUUAAUCGGAUUUACUGGGCGUAAAGCGUGCGUAGGCGGCUUAUUAAGUCGGAUGUGAAAUCCCCGAGCUUAACUUGGGAAUUGCAUUCGAUACUGGUGAGCUAGAGUAUGGGAGAGGAUGGUAGAAUUCCAGGUGUAGCGGUGAAAUGCGUAGAGAUCUGGAGGAAUACCGAUGGCGAAGGCAGCCAUCUGGCCUAAUACUGACGCUGAGGUACGAAAGCAUGGGGAGCAAACAGGAUUAGAUACCCGCGUAGUC